UAAAAUAGAAGAAAAUAAUUUAGAAAUAAUAGCAAACUUAGAUAACUUUAAAAUGAAUUGUACCUAUUCAUUAAAAUCAAUAUACAAACAUUAUUAUCAAAAAAAAGUUUUUCAAUGUCUUACUUGUGGAUUAAGAUUUUAUACUAGUUUAGAAAAAUUAAAUCAUUUAGAAUAUCAUUUCAAAACAAAUAAAAAUUAUAUAAGUGAGUCAGGAAAAAAAAAUAAAUUUAAAAAUAAAAUGAAAUAUAUCUAUCUUGAUCAUAUUAAUCUUCCGAUUGAAUUUUUUAUAUGUAAAAAUUAUUCUUAUUUUGAAGAUUUAUAUGAUAAUGUUAUUACUAAAAAUAGUAAUUCUUUUAAUUUUCUGAACACUGAAUUUGACGAUAGUAAUAACACAUAUAUGGGAAAUAAAAAUAGUCAAAAUUAUUUGUAUGACAUGGGAGAAAUAUAUAUGCAAGGGAUUACACAGGAUAACAUAAAAUCUACAAAUACUGACAACGACUUGGGAAAAGUAAUAAAUCAAAAAAGAAGUAGUAGUAUAUAUGAAAAGGAACAAGGACAAUUGGAAGUUGUUAAUAACACAUAUAGUAGUACUACUCCUGAAAAAAAUAAUAUUGAUGAUAGUAUUGUUUAUCACUUAUUUAAGAAAAGGGAGUAUAAUGAACAAAACGAGUUAAUUUUUAAUCUAGUUAACAAUAUGAAUAAUUUAUUUAAUCUUAAUAAAAAGUGUAACAAUAUAGAUACAUUUUUUCAUACAAAAGAUAAGGACAUUAAACAAGAUAAUAAAGUUAAAAGUAAAUUCGAUAAUAAGGAUAUAAUUACUAGUAAUAGUAGUAGUGAUGAAUCACAAGAUAAUAGUAAUACUUAUUAUAAUAAUAGUUAUAAAACAAAAGAAUCUAGUAUAAAUAAUAAUAGUAAUAAUAAUAAUAAUAAUGACAAAACUAUCGAUUUUUUAGAUUUUAUUUAUGACCAUGAUAAUACAUAUAAUGUUUAUCUUUCCAAUUAUUAUACCGAAACGGUUGAUAAAAAUGUACUCAUAAAUUAUAUUGAAGGAGAAACAAUGUAUAAAAAUAUAAUGAAAUGUUUAGAAAUUAAUUCUAUUGAUCAAUUUAAAUUACCUUCAUGGAUACCUAAAAGAAGUAUACAAACCUUUUUUUUUAAUCCUACAAAUGAAUUAUUUAACUUUAAUACUCAUCAUCGUAACGAAUACAAUAAUAAUUAUAACAGUAACAAUAAGGUCAUAGAUAUGGAUAUAAUGGAAAACUAUAAUGACAUAAGUUCCGAUAGAAUGGGACUUAAUAACGAUGUUACUAACAUUAUCAACACUAGUACCAUUACAAAUACUAUUAGGGAUAAAACUCACAUAAGUAACAUAUUAUCAAAUAAAACUGGAAAUAAUGAAUAUAAACUUGAUGCACGUGACAAUAUAUGGAAUGUAUGCACAAAAAACGAUUUUUAUAUUAAUGCCAGUUUGUCACCUCUAAAUAUGUUUUCUUUAUCAAGUCAAAAAAACAAUAAAUUUCAAAAAAACGAAACAAACUUUUUUAUUAAUCAGGAACAUAUUAAAACUGAAGUUGUUGAAGAAAAUGCUUCUACUACUUUUAAUUAUAAUAAACAAAUAUAUGAUACAAACAGUACUGAUAAUAAAAACUGUACUGAUAAUAAAAACUGUACUGAUAAUAAAAACUGUAUCGAUGAUAAAAACUGUAUUGAUGAUAAAAACUGUACCGAUGAUAAAAACUAUACCGAUGAUAAAAACUAUACCGAUGAUAAAAACUGUACCGAUGAUAAAAACUGUACCGAUGAUAAA
rnacentral:lncRNA from 1 species